rnacentral:rRNA from 1 species
GACGAACGCUGGCGGCGUGCUUAACACAUGCAAGUCGAACGGUGACCUCGAGAGCUUGCUCUUGGGUGAACAGUGGCGAACGGGUGAGUGACACGUGAGUAACCUGCCCCUGACUCUGGAAUAAGCGCUGGAAACGGCGUCUAAUACCGGAUAUGACACACCCUCGCAUGGGGAGUGUGUGGAAAGUUUUUCGGUCUGGGAUGGACUCGCGGCCUAUCAGCUUGUUGGUGAGGUAAUGGCUCACCAAGGCGAUGACGGGUAGCCGGCCUGAGAGGGCGACCGGCCACACUGGGACUGAGACACGGCCCAGACUCCUACGGGAGGCAGCAGUGGGGAAUAUUGCACAAUGGGCGAAAGCAUGAUGCAGCGACGCCGCGUGAGGGAUGACGGCCUUCGGGUUGUAAACCUCUUUCAGCAGGGAAGAAGCGCAAGUGACGGUACCUGCAGAAGAAGCACCGGCUAACUACGUGCCAGCCGCCGCGGUAAAAC